AGGCCCUGAGUUCAAGCCCCAGGGCCAUCGGGAGCGGGAUCCGAGACUGGGAUUCAAACCUGAGGCUGCUGCUUACUGAAUGGCGCUCUCCCAACUGAACCACACCUUUAACCCAAACUCAGAGCCUUGUACAUGUUAGACAAUGCUCUACAGCUGCC